UACGUAGGGUGCAAGCGUUAAUCGGAAUUACUGGGCGUAAAGCGUGCGCAGGCGGCUUUGCAAGACAGAUGUGAAAUCCCCGGGCUCAACCUGGGAACUGCAUUUGUGACUGCAAGGCUAGAGUACGGUAGAGGGGGAUGGAAUUCCGCGUGUAGCAGUGAAAUGCGUAGAUAUGCGGAGGAACACCGAUGGCGAAGGCAAUCCCCUGGACCUGUACUGAC
rnacentral:rRNA from 1 species